UGCUUAACACAUGCAAGUCUACUUGAUCCUUCGCCUUAAGGUGGCGGACGGGUGAGUAACGCGUAAAGAACUUGCCUUACAGACUGGGACAACAUUUGGAAACGAAUGCUAAUACCGGAUAUUAUGAUUGGGUCGCAUGACCUGGUUAUGAAAGCUAUAUGCGCUGUGAGAGAGCUUUGCGUCCCAUUAGUUAGUUGGUGAGGUAACGGCUCACCAAGACGAUGAUGGGUAGCCGGCCUGAGAGGGUGAACGGCCACAAGGGGACUGAGACACGGCCCUUACUCCUACGGGAGGCAGCAGUGGGGAAUAUUGGACAAUGGACCAAAAGUCUGAUCCAGCAAUUCUGUGUGCACGAUGAAGUUUUUCGGAAUGUAAAGUGCUUUCAGUUGGGAAGAAGUCAGUGACGGUACCAACAGAAGAAGCGACGGCUAAAUACGUGCCAGCAGCCGCGGUAAUACGUAUGUCGCAAGCGUUAUCCGGAUUUAUUGGGCGUAAAGCGCGUCUAGGCGGCUUAGUAAGUCUGAUGUGAAAAUGCGGGGCUCAACCCCGUAUUGCGUUGGAAACUGCUAAACUAGAGUACUGGAGAGGUAGGCGGAACUACAAGUGUAGAGAUGAAAUUCGUAGAUAUUUGUAGGAAUGCCGAUGGGGAAGCCAGCCUACUGGACAGAUACUGACGCUAAAGCGCGAAAGCGUGGGUAGCAAACAGGAUUAGAUACCCUGGUAGUCCACGCCGUAAACGAUGAUUACUAGGUGUUGGGGGUCGAACCUCAGCGCCCCAGCUAACGCGAUAAGUAAUCCGCCUGGGGGAGUACGUACACAAGUAUGAUACUCAAAGGAAUUGACGGGGACCCGCACAAGCGGUGGAGCAUGUGGUUCAAUUGGACGUAACGCGAGGAACCUUGCCAGCGUUUGACAUCCCAAGAAGUUAACAGAGAUGUUUUCGUGCCUCUUGGGAGGAACUUGGUGACAGGUGGUGCAUGGCUGUGGUCAGCUUGUGUCGUGAGAUGUUGGGUUAAGUCGCGCAACGAGCGCAACCCCUUUCGUAUGUUACCAUCAUUAAGUUGGGGACUCGUGCGAGACUGCUUGCGAUGAGCAGGAGGAAGGUGGGGAUGACGUCAAGUCAUCAUGCCCUUUAUACGCUGGGCUACACACGUGCUACAAUGGGUAGUACAGAGAGCUGCAAACCUGCGAGGGUAAGCUAAUCUCAUAAAACUAUUCUUAGUUCGGAUUGUACUCUGCAACUCGAGUACAUGAAGUUGGAAUCGCUAGUAAUCGCAAAUCAGCUAUGUUGCGGUGAAUACGUUCUCGGGUCUUGUACACACCGCCCGUCACACCACGAGAGUUGGUUGCACCUGAAGUAACAGGCCUAACCGUAAGGAGGGAUGUUCCGAGGGUGUGAUUAGCGAUUGGG
rnacentral:rRNA from 1 species